GCAUAGAUGUCAGGUAAGAGGAUAUAAGGGCAUGGGAAAAAGAGUAGCCAGGCAUCUCCUGAAAGGUUACAGCUAUUGCUAUUACAGUUCGUGUUGCACAGCAGAUGACAAUACAAGUUUUUAUAGCUUAAGUAUCUUACUCAUUUGAAUAACCAGUGAGUAAUAACUGAAUUGAAGGCUUGUCACUGAGAUUUCUUCCUCUGCCUAUCUUCCAAUUAGAAGUACUAAUUUUACUUAUUUUAUUCUAAUGUUUAGAAUUUAAUUUAUUGUUACCAUUUCCAUUACUGCCAAAUGGCUUCAAAAUGUUUUGCUACCAUGAAUAUGUGUCAAUGUUAAUCAGAGUUCUUCAGUGCUUUGAAUCCACAAACAUACCUGAUAUGAAAAACAGCUACUGUUCUUAUAAAUGAGAUAUUCAUAAUAAUUUCUUUGUUUGGAAAUGACACUAAUUCAACAUUUGCUGUAGUAGUAAAACUAUCUUAGGAUACUAUCAAGACAAGGCAGAUGCUUUGAUGGCAUGAAAAUAAAACUGGUUUGCACUUAUCUACCAAAGUCCAUUCUUAAGCUAAGACAAAAUUAAUCACUGCAGACAAGUACAAGCCUAAAGCAUAUCUUACUGUGUCAAAAUUAUGGUCACAAAAUGACAAGCAUUAAUACAAAGAUCUGUGGUGCAAAGUUGAAACAAUGUUGUGAUUAAUUAUACUGCCAGCAAUACAAGGAAAUAAACAUUGACCAAGUGAGAGUACUUUCUAAAGGCAGACAUCUCCAUCUUGACUUGUCUUAGAAAUGCCUGUUAGAAGCACUGUUGAAAUGACACUUGAUUUUUUAUCAAACCAGUUUUAUUCAGUUAUCAGAGAGUAAAUUAAUAGGGGAGUAGUGGAGAUACUGUGUUCACUGAAAUUUUCCAGUAGAAUUUUUAGAUUGUUUGCCUACAUAUAAUUUCUGGUUUUUCUGCACAACAGGCAGUUCAAAGCCAAGCUAGCUCAAAUCAAAUUGCAGGUGAAGUCUUCAGAGUUUCUAGAAGAAGAUGUAGCUAUUACUCAGAGUUCUGCCCAGCACACAGCCAGAGAAUGGAUGGUGAUUCCUCUCUCCUGCAAAUAGGCAGUAAUUUAUCCUAGCAUCCACAUGGGAAAUGAAUGAUUUAACCUUUUGGUUUUCUGAUUUUGAUGGUUCCAACUUCAUACUUGUACAAAAGAGGAUGAUUCCCAAGGUGGGUGGGAAGAGGAAUUUCCCUAUUCUUUUCAUUGCUUUGCUUAGGAAGGAAGACCACUGAAUUGGUACGACCCUGAUCAUACUUUAGGGUAAUCUCAGGAGAGCAAUAAACUACAUAUCAGCUUUAGUUGCUCAGAAGGGACUACAUGCCCCUAUCAUUCAUAUUUCACUUACAAAGCUGUAAGCUACAGUGCCAUUAUUUCUCUCUGCCUGGAGAAAAAUGAACAUUCUUACAUGACCUGUCUUCUCUUCCCUUAAUGAGGAAAAGAAGCAGUUAUAGCUCCAGAGGUUUUUUGUUUUUUUUUUUUUUUUUUCCUAUUACCAACAGCAAGGUCAGGGUUUAGAUGUAACCACAAUCAGUAAAACUGGUUAAGCACAAAAAGUGCUCAGAUGCAAGAGAUGAAGUCAUCAAAAAGCCCAGUGAAUUGGAGGGAUAGGAUUUGGUUCCCUAAAUACGAGCAGCUACUGCCAUUGGCUUUCCAGAAGGCUCUUCAGACAUGCAGAAGGAGCUGGCAGGUGUGUGCAGGAGCUCUGGGAGCUGUAACAGGGGAGCAGUGCUGCCAGGGAGGGGUUCCUGGCCCUGCUGUGCUGGCAGCCUCUGCCUGGUGCAGUUCCCGUCCGGGGCACGGCUUCCCUGGCCCGGGGGACUGUGUGCUGGGAUGCUCCCUGUCCUGCUGUCCCUCACUCCUCCUGUCCUGCUCCUGGCGUAAUGGCACUUUGGGGAACACCCAGCUGCCACUUCAAUCCUACCCAAAGGGCUGGCAGGGUGACCUUGCCUGCACAGCACCAUUUUCUGCUUCAUGUGCAACAACAGGAUUUUCUUGGAACUUGAUUUUCCCAAUUACAAAACAGACCUGCAACGAGUAUUGCUUUUAUAGAGCACAGAACCACAGGAGAAAGUCUGGAAAACAAACCAAAGCAGGAUCAUGUGAAGGAUGUGCUUGAUUAACUACAAAAAAAGACCUGUGGGAGGUGUGAUUUUUUAUGAAGAUUUUCAAGAAGAUGGCAAGGAACUAGAGACUGGCAAUUAGAACUUCUGCAGCAGGCAAGUUAAUGGAAAAUGUGAUGAAGAACAGAAUUAACAGUUGUGUCUGCAGAUGUGUAAAGG